rnacentral:snoRNA from 1 species
AUCCUUUUGUGAGGAUAAGCUUGGGUUUUCACUUAUGUGAGAUGUGCCUCCCUCAAACCUUGUUAUAUCAGCAUGUUUAACAUCUGAUG